CCUUGUACUUGAUUAAUGAAUUAAGGUCAUAUUUAGAAAGGCAUUCCCUCAUCUGAUUGUCUAGGUUUUAAUUGAAAGGAAAAAAGGAACACCUGGUGAGAAUUGGCCCUCAAUGGAAUGAGUUUUGCACCAAUGGAAAUGGAGAGUUUGAGAAGCAACAGCUGUGCUGGAAUGCGAUCAAUGUGGGGGACAGUUCUGAUGACAUGGAGCGGGAGGAUGAGGGCCUAGUAUGUGAAUGUUCUGUAGUGGAAAGACAUAGGAAGAACAGAGAUACUGAUACUGGAAGCAGAGGCGCAUGUAGUAUAGAAACUCCAGAGGUCCAAGGUAGGGAGCUCGAGUAAUAAUGUGGAAAGUUGGGAUGGUGUUUGAGGAGACCACAGGGCCUCAUUCACACCCUGAUUAACCAAGGCCAUAAAAAGAGGUGUAGUUAAACUGGGAUGCAGCCGUGUAAAUGAGAACUUGUUCUGAACUAGCCUACCUGGUUAAUUAAAGGUGAAAUAAACAAUUAGUGCCUGAAAGUCCUUGAAUUUGACUUGCCACUGUAUGACCACAUAUAAUUCUUAAUAUGGUGUGAAUGGGAAAUACAUUUGGUUUUUGUGAGUGAAAUAAUACAGUGAAGACAAGGUUAUUCAUAAAAUAGUACAUAGUGCUGCCUGAAACAUACUGUGAUCUUGUACUAAAUGGUUUUUGAGUCAUUUAUGCAUUUAUGUGAAUUUAGGAAAUCUACUAUAGAUUAAGUGCACUUAUGUUGUGCAAUUUAAAAUGUGUACUUUGUGUCUAAUGUGAAUGAAUGUAUUGUCAGGGAUUAGCUACCGGAUCUACUGAAAUGAGAUAAUUGAACAAGAAAAAAUAGAAAAUAUUUUUACAGAAUAAAGUCCCAGAACUGUCAAGAAAAUAACUUUUGUGUCCGUUUGUCUUUAUUACUACAGACCGACUCAGAUUAAGUCUCAGGCCGGUAACAUCAACAGUGAGGACAAACACAGCCUGCCACUCUCCUUCCACACUGAGUAGAAACCCACAGUCACUGGGUCCUGAUUGUGACAGUGGAGCCCAGUUUGCUCUGCAGGAUCCAGAGAUGGCAUCAGUGAAGCUGGAAGACUGCAGUCAAACACUGGAGCUGAAUGUCAACAUUAAAGGUGAAGAAGAGGAGGAUAAGAUUAGGACAACUGUUAGUCAUGGCACAUACCUGUCUAUGUCAGGUCCCACAUUUGACACUGCAUGUCAGAGUUAAAACCAAGUCAUGAGGUGGAAGGAUUUGUCCGUCGAGCUCCGUGACAGGAUUGUGUCGGCACAGAUCUGGAGACCGGUACCAAAACAUUUCUGCAGCAUUAAAGGUCCCAAGAACACAGAGGCCUCCAUUAGUCUUCAAUGGAAGAAGUUUGGAACCACCAAGACUCUUCUUAGAGCUGGCCACCCGGCCAAACUGAGCAAUCGGGGAGAAGGGUCAGGGUCGGGGAGGUGGCCAAGAACCCGAUGGUCACUCUGACAGAGCCCCAGAGUUCGUCUAUGGAUCUUCCAGAAGGACAACCAUCUCUGCAGCACUCCACUAAUCAGGCUUUUAUGGUAGAGUGCCCAGACGGAAGCCACUCCUCAGUAAAAGGCACAUGAUAGUCCACUUGGACUCCCCAAAUACAAUUGUGCCAAGCUGAGAAUUAGAAUAAAACUGUAAUGUAACAAAAACCCAAGGUGUCUGAAUACUUUAUGAAUGCAUUGUAGACGUUAUUUCAUGCUGCUAAGACUUGUAUGGAUGACAACAGUAUUGUCAGCAUUUGUUUUAUUCACUGGUCUAUCUGGAGUGUUCAGAGAGUAGACUAAAGAAGUGGAGUAGACAAACUGCCAGUGUUUUGAAGUUCUAUGAAAUGAGUCUGUGUAGUUACUAACCCUUUGUCACGAGAAUUUCUAUCCCAAUGUUCUAACUGAACUAUUUUGUAACUCCAUCUGUAUCCUAGAGGUUGUAAGGCUCUAAGUUUUAAUAAACAGAGUCCCAGCAUACAAAUGAUCAGUUCUUUAUUCAGAGAGCUCUGCCCUCUCAAGUUCAGAGCCCAUCUUUUAUACACACAUCAGUCAAGAACCCCACCCCGCUUUAGGAUGGCUGUAUUGUUCCACUGUACACUUACAUUGUUUAUCAUAUUCUGCAACAUGUUUCAUGAUUUUCUGCAAGCCUAACAGUUUCUCCACUUCGGGUGGGGACAGAAUGUCCUGUAAGGAACAUAAUGUUGUAAUUCUACCCUGCCAACGCUGCACAUAUUACCAACUUAUAUUCUUAUGUGUCAAAUGGAUUUCACACACCUUGAAAGAUUAGUGGAAUCUGUGUGGGUAGCUGGACAGGUAGGAUGACUGACGGUGAAGGUGAACAGGUGGUCACGUGUCAGGUGACAGAGGAAUGGAUGAGACUGAGGCAGGAAUUCCUUUAACCAUAAAGUGGUAUAUUUACUGAGUAGUGUGGAUUCAUGGACGCACAGAACUUCUGGAUCAGAUGGACUUAAGGAAGAGAAAGCAGCGAGAUCAGGCGAUGGCAAUUUCCUCCUUUUAUGGAGUUGAGAUCUGUCGGACAUUUCCACCUGACCUAAUUAAAGCGCCCCUGGCCCAGCUGAGUAAAUGGCAAUGAAUUAAAGGAUUAUUCCACCAACUCCAUGGGCCUUUUCUACACACAGUGAUACAUUUUCAGGGUGAAAUAUCUUAGUCAUUUCUUUAAACACAAAUUCUACUAUCACCCUUGUGAUGUUGAGUGGAGGAUGGUUUCGCUCAUCAUUUUCACCACUUUUGCCUCUUAUUAGUUUUUGACUCCUACCCAGUUUUAGAAUAGUUUUAUUCCCCUUCCCAUACAGCCAACUGAAAUGAAUACAUACACUUCCGUUGAAAAGUUUAGGGUCACUUAGAAAUGUCCUUGUUUUUGAAAGAAAAGUAUGUUUUUUUUUGUCCAUUAAACUCACAUCAAAUUGACCAUUAA